rnacentral:rRNA from 1 species
UACAGGGGGGGCAAGCGUUGUUCGGAAUUACUGGGCGUAAAGGGCUCGUAGGUGGCCAACUAAGUCAGACGUGAAAUCCCUCAGCUUAACUGGGGAACUGCGUGUGAUACUGGAUGGCUUGGAUUUGGGAGAGGGAUGCGGAAUUCCAGGUGUAGCGGUGAAAUGCGUAGAUAUCUGGAGGAACACCGGUGGCGAAGGCGGCAUCCUGGACCAAUAUUGACGCUGAGGAGCGAAAGCCAGGGGAGCAAACGGG